CCAGUCACAUCAUACAAGUUUCCUUUGAAAAGACAUGUUCAAGAGCAAUGGUGGAAAUGACUGGCAGUAUCUCUCACAUACGUGUACAGUGACUCCCACGGCGACAGGUGCGUCAGUCGGGCAGGUACCCGGAAGAAGAGAGAACAAAAAACUGGAGCUUGUUCGAGUUACAGCCCAGCUAUAGCCAUGGACCAGAGGAGCCUACAGGAAGAGUUUAAGGAUCAGUUUACAGACGUGGUGUCCAGACUGCAGUCUAAACAGCUGUUCCAGUCUGACUGGGACAUCGCCUCCUUCGCUGUCUUCUUCAUCUUCAUCGGCAUGGUUCUGCUGCUUGUUGUCCUGGUUCUGAUCCGAUGUUGCUGCUGCUGUUGCUGUGAUGAACAGCCGAGAAGACACAAAGUGGGUCAUGAAAACUUUGGAAUGGAGACCUGAAAGGAACUUGGAACAGGAUUGAAGAUUCCACAAUGACGACACUUAGAAAAUUGAUUAGUCCUUUUUAUAAUACAUUUUAUUCAUAUUUUUCCGAUGCACUUUAAAAUUUGCACUUUUAAUCUGUGUGCCAAACCAAGAGUUGUAUAACUUGUUUUCAUUCUGGUUCCAUCUAUUUACUUUUGACUGUUGGAAAAUGUUGCACUCCCUGUGGUAACCCGGUUUAGCUGCCGUCUAAUGUCAUUGGAGGUCAUAUGAAUCAGUUUGUUUACUUGUUCCCUGCACGGCUAGCGGUUGUUGCUAGGAUGCCAGAAAGGAGAGGAAGGUGAAAACAGUCACCGAGUGUCACAACCAGAAGAUAAAAGGGCUUUCACUAACAGUUCAUGAAAAAAACUAGGCACCAACUCUUUAUGUAGUGGAAUCAAAGCUGUGUACUUUAAACUUAACUUCUUAAGUGUAUGUAAUGAGGAAUGAUGUAGUAGUAUUGAUUCAAUGACUUUAAUGUAGUUAAUUAUAUUAACAAUAUAAUUCAAUGUUGAAACAUGUACAUUGUAUCAUUCAAAUGAUUAAAUCAUAUUUUGUAUUGAA